rnacentral:rRNA from 1 species
CCUACGGGUGGCAGCAGUGGGGAAUAUUGCACAAUGGAGGAAACCCUGAUGCAGCGACGCCGCGUGAGUGAAGAAGUAAUUCGUUAUGUAAAGCUCUAUCAGCAGGGAAGAAAAUGACGGUACCUGAGUAAGAAGCCCCGGCUAACUACGUGCCAGCAGCCGCGGUAAUACGUAGGGGGCAAGCGUUAUCCGGAUUUACUGGGUGGAAAGGGAGCGUAGACGGCAGUGCAAGUCAGGAGUGAAAGGCGGGGGCUCAACCCCCGGACUGCUCUGGAAACUGUACGGCUGGAGUGCAGGAGAGGCAAGUGGAAUUCCUAGUGUAGCGGUGGAAUGCGUAGAUAUUAGGAGGAACACCAGUGGCGAAGGCGGCUUACUGGACUGUAACUGACGUUGAGGCUCGAAAGCGUGGGGAGCAAACAGGAUUAGAUACCCUGGUAGUC